rnacentral:rRNA from 1 species
UACGAAGGGGGCUAGCGUUGUUCGGAAUUACUGGGCGUAAAGCGCACGUAGGCGGACUAUUAAGUCAGGGGUGAAAUCCCGGGGCUCAACCCCGAAACUGCCUUUGAUACUGGUAGUCUCGAGUCCGGAAGAGGUGAGUGGAAUUCCGAGUGUAGAGGUGAAAUUCGUAGAUAUUCGGAGGAACACCAGUGGCGAAGGCGGCUCACUGGUCCGGUACUGACGCUGAGGUGCGAAAGCGUGGGGAGCAAACAGG